CCCUUUUUGCUCUAGCUAUUCUUCUUAACCUUCGCUGUAUUUCUCUUUCUUUCUUCGUUAGGUCGUUGUCUAUGUAUAUCCCCUUCCCCAAUUUACCUUUCUCUCUCAUUACCCUCAUCUUCUCCUCCCACGAUUUCAACGUUGCGAUUAUUAUCGUGUUGUUUUCUCCCACCCUUACCUUCUGUGUCCUUUCUACCUCUACUUCUAAUUUUCUCUUAUGAAUUCUGUCACUGUCCCGUUAUCGCUUUCCUCCCCCCAUUCCGCGCCUUUUAUUACGAUGUUCCUCUUCCUUCUCUCCCUUUCUAUCCUGUCUUGCUCUUCCUCAAACCUCCUGAUUCUGUCCUCCAAUUCUUUCUUCUCCCUUUUCCAUCUUUCCCACUCGCUGUCCCAUCUUUCUCUUUCUGUCUCUCUCUCUUUCCUCCAUCUCUCUCUCUCUUCUUCUCUCUCCUUUUCCCAUCUUUUCCUCUCCUCCUCCUUCUCCUUCUUCCACCUUUCCCUCUCCUCUUCUCGUUCCUUUUUCCUUCUUUCUCUCUCCUCUUUUCUAUCCCUCCUCAUCUCCUCUACUAGCUCUACUAUCACCUCCAGCCCCCUCUCUAUUUUCUCCAUCCUCUCGUCCCAUGCUUCUUUGCCGCUCUCUCUCUCUUUAUUGCCUCCUUCUCUGUCACGCUGUACCUUUCCAGCGUGUUUUUGCGAUCUUCCUUCUCUCUCUCCUUGUCCGUCAUCCUCGGUCUGCUUCUUGUCGCCAUCUAUCUUCUUUUUGACCAAUUAGCUUUGUACUUUCGCCCACCUAACCUCUUCUUUCCUAGCUUUAUGUUUCACACUUUCUCCUGUCUUUUUGUCACUUUUUUCUUAUACUUUGUCUACCCUCGCUUCGCGCUUUCCCCCUUUCUUUCCCUUCUUCUUCCCCCUAUGUCUUCCUCCUCCUUUUCCCCUUCAUUUCUCACUUUUUCACAGCGCUUACUACCCACGUGUUAUCUUCGCCCGCGUCCAAACUGGAAGUUCAACAGUAUACUUAAAUUUGGUUAAUCUUGGACUGAAAAAGAAUAAACAGUCGAUAAAAAAUUAAAUUGCAUUUGAAAUAAGUAAAAAAUGUAAAGUAACAUUUUUUCAUAAGGGGCUUCGUUUCCGAGAAAAUAAAUUUGAAAAUGUACCAUGCGCUCCUACCGGACUAAUAUGUAAUUAAACAUCUUUAAAGUUUAUUUUUUUGAAAACAAGUCCUUAAACGGAAAAAUGUCAUCCUACAUUUUUAACUUAUUCUCUUCGUGGAAUAUUUUGUGCUUAGCCUUCUUUUGAUAUGAAUUUUGCAUGUUUCAGCAGCCAAUUGGUUUGGGUGUGUUGCAAUUCUUUCUUUGUAUCUCUUUGCAUAUCUGCCGAUUUCUUCUUUGAUCAUUGGUAUUUUUAAGUCUUUACGUAAAUCCUUGUUUCUGACAUACCAUGGGGCGUUGACUAUUGUCCUGAGUAUUUUCGAUUGUAGCGACUCUAAUUGAUAAAUUAGAUUCUAUGUGGCUCAUUGCUGCUGCCCCCAUAGUGGUAUUCCGUACGUCCAGAUUGGUUUUAUUAUCGUUUUGUAAAUUUUUAGUUUAUUUUCCAUGCUGAGGUUAGAGUUUCAAGUAGUUAAUCAGUACAUCUGUCCUCUUUUUAUCCGUAUUUUGUCUAUAAUUGAUUUAGUAUGCUACUUCCAUGUAAGUUGUAUCUCUAAGUGAAGUCCUAGAUAUUUAACUUGCUUUGUUUGUCUUAUGUGCGUGCUAUUCAAUUGGAUAUUUGGUGGUUUCUGUUUUCGUAGUGUAAAUGUAAUAUGGUUGCAUUUACUGGGGUUUGCUUUUGUUUGUUUAUUUUGCAGCCAUUUUUAUAUUUUUGUGAUAUGUAACUGCUGUUUCUGAUUUAGUGUGCCUGACUAGUACAACCGUGUCGUCCGCGAAUGUCAAUAUCUUGCUGUUGGUAUGUUGCCCGUGUAUAGUGUGUAUAAUAUUGGCCCUAAGACGCUUCCUUGCUGUACCCUUGCCUCGAUUCUUUAACUUCAGAAUAUGUGUCCUUUAUUUUUACUACAAAGGUUCUGUUGCUUAGAUAUGAUUUGAGUAAGUGGUGAAUUUGUUCUGGGAAAUGUUUUUUGAUUGUUUAUAAGACGCUUUCAUGGUUCAUUUUGUCAAAUGCUUUCUCGAUAUCCAUGAAGAGGGCUGUCCAGUAUUGUUUCUUUUCUAUUGCUAGUAAAAUUUCGUUGUCCAGCUUGUGCAUAUGCUCUAUCAUGGAAUGUUUGUUUCUGAAUCCAAAUUGAUAAUCUGCUAUUAACUUUUUUUUCUCUAUUGUUGGUUUUAGGCGGUCGUCUAUUAUUUUCUCUAGUAUUUUGGAAAACGUACGAAGUAGUGAUGUUAGCCUGUAAGAUGCAAUUUGGUGUGGGUUUUUGCCUGGCUUAGAUAACAUUAUGAUCUGCGCUAGUUUCCAUAGAUUAGGACAUUAUUGAGUUUUUAAUAUUGCAUUGAAUAUUAUUGUCAUUAAUCGUAUUGCUUUUAGGGGAAGAUUUUUUGAAGAUUUAACCUUUGAUUAUGUUGAUUAAUGGUGCUUUAUUGUUUUUUGUUUUCUUCAUUAUGAUUCUAAUUUCUACUGCUGUUGUAUUAGGUAUGGUAUAGUACAUGUCAGUUGAGGUGCUAGUGUUUUGCACAUCUCAGUCUGUAUGAUAGUUGGGGCUACUGUUGUUAAUAUUGUGUAGAGGAAAUGUGUUACAAAGGUGGUUGGAAAAUUCUUCAGCUUGCUCUUAGUUGCUUCUGGCUCAUGUGUUGUCUGUAAGAUCCAGAUCAUUGUUUUGUUCUACAGUUGGAUCAGUUCCGUGGGUCAUUUCAGUUCAGGUGGACAGAGUAAAUCCGUUGAACAAUUAAAAUGGUGGAUUUAAUAUGCUUUCCCUUGUCAACAAUCAAUGCGUAAUCUUGGGAGAAGACUUGGCCAGAAUAUAAAAUGUAGAAAUUUAAAUGCGAGCCUGGUUCUAUUUAAACAACAGUGAUGAUCAUGUAGAAGUUGACACGCAGGUAUAGCUAUUACAGAUUCAAAAAAAAAAGAAAAAAAGAAGAAAUGGGAUAUCGAAUGAACUGUUGAGUUGGAGCCCAUGGUUCCUCUGAGACUUUUGUGCUACAUGAUAAGUAAAAGUACGAUGCAACAAGAAGAUUUGGAAUGACAUUUCAAGAUCAGGAUCAAAUUCAAUGUUGCGACUAUUUUUUUGAUGAUCUCCAUCGAUUCAAAGCUGUAGAAUCACCUGCUAAAGUCUUGACAAUUGAUCUUAUAUUCUGUACUUUGGUCUGCUUUAAUUAAAAUUAAACAGACAAUGUAAUAUAAGUUAUACGAUACAAUUAGAUUAAUGUAUGUAAACAUUGGUAACACCGAUCAUUUAUGGAACGUAACUCGUAAUAUUAGUAAUAAUUCUAUAUAAAUGUUGCCAUAUGGUUCUUUUCUAUAUAUAUAUAUAUAUAUAUAUAUAUAUAAGGCCAUAACAUGUAUCUUAGAAGUUAUCAUAUUCAUGCAAGAAUAUUACACUUAAUAAAAAAAACUAAUUUUUGAUUAAUGAAAUCAAAUUGACGUAAUGCAUGAAAAUGGACGGACAAUUGAAAAAUGAAAUAAGUCCACAGUAAUAAAAAUACACAGUGUCCCAAUAAAAGUUAAAUUUCGAGGUGGACAUAGUUUGGUUUUAGCAGUUUUCUUGCAGGGGGGAGUGCAAAGGAUAUAUGAAAACUAAGUCAAUUUUUUUUAAUAGAACUAUAUAUAUGAUUAUUUUAAUAUGUUAAUCGAUCUUACUUGGCAUCCCCAUAAAAAGCUAUUAACCUAUUUAUAUAUAUCGAAAAGCCAUUAGUUUAGCACAUAUAUUUCAAUGUUUAUUUUGUACAUAAAAUAUUAUCGCAUGAUGGAUGAGGAAAACAAAUAAAGAGUGUCUUACUACUUGCCCUGUCUUUCGUACGAUUAAUUUUACAAAAUAAAAGUUAAAAUAUUUGUUAAACCAAUGAUUUUUUGACAUAAAUAAGUUAAUAACUUAUUAUUAUUUAAUUAUUACCCAACAUAUUAAUAUACUAAUAUACAAUACAUUUGUAAUAUAUAAUAUAUAUAUUUCAUUUAUAGUUCCAUUUAAAAGAAAUUGAGUUGACUUUGACUAGUGCAUAGUUUCAUUUCAAAAAAAUAUUGAUAAUAAAAUCUACAAAAAUGUUUUAAACGAUUUUCGCAUUUUUGAGUGAGUAAAAAACAAAAAAAUAAUUUCUACCGUGUAUGUUGUGUAACGCUUAAAGUAAUGGAACAAGUGCGUGUAGGUGUGUGUGUCAUGUUGAGUGCUGAAGAUUGUAGCAUAUUUAUGGAAAAACUGUCAAUUAUGUGAUGCAACAAAUUUUUUUCGGAAGCAACUAAUAACAAAAGAGAAUCUUUUCGUAAGUGUGACAUUAUCGUCAUCGGCACUUGAAUUUAAUUGCUAUCUUGGCUCUGGUAAAUCUAGCUAGUAAAUAUAGCUAGUAAAGAAUUUUUUGCUUUAGGUAGCAAGUCUAGUUUAAGAAAAAUAUCGCCUACAAAAUCAGUCACGUAACUGGAACGAACCAUAUUUUCUUUUUUUUUUUUACUUGAAGUUAAAAAAGAAUGUCAAUAGUAAAAGAUGAAUACUCUAAGAAGGACUAUAUUUUUCAGAUGUUUGUUUAGGAUGGAUCAUUCUACAAAGAUCAUCUAAUGCACAUCGCAAAUUUAAAUUCGCGUUGAUCACUGUAAUAUCUCUUGUUCUUGUUUAACUAUUCCAUUGCUAUAAGACAUAGGGCACAUAUAAUGCAUAUAAGACAUUCGAUACUUGUAUCUUAUAUCAAAAAUGCUACCGCAGCUGGUUUAUACAGAGGUACAAUGCAAUUGAUGAUGCGCCUGAUUUAAUAAUAUGUAAUUAAAAAUUCUAAAACAGAAUCAUAAUAUUCUUACAAACUUGCAACUACAUAAGAAUGCUCAUUUUGAGGUAGUUAAAGGAGUUACGGAUACCGCUGAAACAGAUUGUACUGUUUCAUAUUUUUCGAUUAGUAAAGAUUAAGUGGCAUUCAAACGAUUCAAAUGUUUUUGUUGUUUGGUUAAAGUGAAUAUUAAUUAAUUGGUAAUUUGUGAAUAAUACUUUGAAUUUAAAGAAAAUGUCAAAACAUGCAGUACCUGCUAAAAUGCAAUUGCGAACUUCAUUAGCUUCAUAAACAAAUCCAACGCU